rnacentral:tRNA from 2 species
GCCCUCGUAGCUCAGGUGGAUAGAGCGACGGUUUCCUAAACCGUAGGUCCCGCGUUCGAGUCGCGGCGAGGGCA